rnacentral:rRNA from 1 species
UUGGAGGCACUGCCUGCCUCGUGACAAUCGUUAAACGGCCGCGGUAUCCUGACCGUGCAAAGGUAGCAUAAUCAUUUGUUCUCUAAAUAGGGACUUGUAUGAAAGGCCACACGAGGGUUUUACUGUCUCUUACUUCCAAUCAGUGAAAUUGACCUUCCCGUGAAGAGGCGGGAAUAAACCAAUAAGACGAGAAGACCCUAUGGAGCUUCAACUAACUAGCCCAAAGAAAAUAAAUAUAACCACCAAGGGAAUAAAAAUUUCUCUAUAGGCAUAGCAGUUUCGGUUGGGGUGACCUCGGAGAACAAAAAAUCCUCCGAGCGAUUUUAAAGACUAGACCUACAAGUCAAAUCACUCUAUCGCUUAUUGAUCCAAAAACUUGAUCAACGGAACAAGUUACCCUAGGGAUAACAGCGCAAUCCUAUUCAAGAGUCCAUAUCGACAAUUAGGGUUUACGACCUCGAUGUUGGAUCAGGACACCCAGAUGGUGCAACCGCUAUCAAAGGUUCGUUUGUUCAACGAUUAAAGUCCUACGUGAUCUGAGUUCAAACCGGAGAA